GGCUCAGGAUGAACGCUGGCGGCGUGCCUAAUACAUGCAAGUCGAGCGAACGGACGAGAAGCUUGCUUCUCUGAUGUUAGCGGCGGACGGGUGAGUAACACGUGGAUAACCUACCUAUAAGACUGGGAUAACUUCGGGAAACCGGAGCUAAUACCGGAUAAUAUUUUGAACCGCAUGGUUCAAAAGUGAAAGACGGUCUUGCUGUCACUUAUAGAUGGAUCCGCGCUGCAUUAGCUAGUUGGUAAGGUAACGGCUUACCAAGGCAACGAUGCAUAGCCGACCUGAGAGGGUGAUCGGCCACACUGGAACUGAGACACGGUCCAGACUCCUACGGGAGGCAGCAGUAGGGAAUCUUCCGCAAUGGGCGAAAGCCUGACGGAGCAACGCCGCGUGAGUGAUGAAGGUCUUCGGAU
rnacentral:rRNA from 1 species